AUUGAACGCUGGCGGCAUGCUUUACACAUGCAAGUCGAACGGUAACAGGCCGCAAGGUGCUGACGAGUGGCGAACGGGUGAGUAAUGCAUCGGAACGUGCCCAGUCGUGGGGGAUAACGCAGCGAAAGCUGUGCUAAUACCGCAUACGAUCUAUGGAUGAAAGCGGGGGACCGUAAGGCCUCGCGCGAUUGGAGCGGCCGAUGUCAGAUUAGGUAGUUGGUGGGGUAAAGGCUCACCAAGCCAACGAUCUGUAGCUGGUCUGAGAGGACGACCAGCCACACUGGGACUGAGACACGGCCCAGACUCCUACGGGAGGCAGCAGUGGGGAAUUUUGGACAAUGGGCGCAAGCCUGAUCCAGCAAUGCCGCGUGCAGGAAGAAGGCCUUCGGGUUGUAAACUGCUUUUGUACGGAACGAAAAGGUUUGGGUUAAUACCCUGGGCCGAUGACGGUACCGUAAGAAUAAGCAUCGGCUAACUACGUGCCAGCCGCCGCAGUAAUAC
rnacentral:rRNA from 1 species